UUCUUGACUCCUAUGCAAGUGUGUGUGUUUUUGAAUAUCCAAAAAUGAAAAAUUUAUGGUGUUUAAUUACUAAAAAGGGAUUAAUUACCCGAGGAAAACGAAUAGUUUCCAUCAAAAGAUAGAAAAUGACUUGCUUCAUUUAUGGACGGAAGUCAUUUCUUAAAUUUUAACUUCAUGCUAUUUGCUUCAAAUAACACUUGGACAUUAUUAUUAAUUUUUAUUACUCAAAAUUGAUAGAAAUAUUAGCAAAUUUGAGAGUUUUGUCUAAGUUAUUGGAGUGAGUAAUAUGAAGUCAAACGGUAGAGUAUCAUUUUUGUAGUUCUUUUUUGAAAAGCUGUCACUGCAGGGGAAGAAUGUUCUGAAAAACUUCAAUAUAGAAGAAGGACAACUGAAUGAUUAUGGGUUUAUACUCUCGCAAUAUAAUGUUUUAAUAGAAUCCCAUCUUGAAAUUCACUUGUACUGGAGUGGUAAUGGCUCCACCGUCUACCCACAGAACUAUGGUCCCCUCAUUGCAGCUAUUUCUGUAGAGCCAGGCUGGGAUAGCAGGAUCAUCACUGGUUUUCCUUACUCUACUUUUGCUUGUACUCUGGAAAUUGGGUUAUCUCGGCGGCCAAAGAUCAUCAAAGGAAGAACUAAAAGCAACUGAAUUGUUCCCCGGAAGAGUUUA